ACUGCUCAGUAACACGUGGAUAAUCUGCCCUCAGGUGAGGAAUAAUCCCGGGAAACUGGGGCUAAUGCCUCAUAGGAGACGGGUGCUGGAAUGCUCUGUCUCCGAAAGGUCCGCCGCCUGAGGAUGAGUCUGCGUCCGAUUAGGUUGUUGUUGGGGUAACGGCCCAACAAGCCUUUGAUCGGUACGGGUUGUGGGAGCAAGAGCCCGGAGAUGGAUUCUGAGACAUGAAUCCAGGCCCUACGGGGCGCAGCAGGCGCGAAAACUUUACAAUGCGAGCAAUCGUGAUAAGGAAACCCUGAGUGCCUGUCAAUGCAGGCUGUUCUGGUGUCUAACACACACCAGGAGAAAGGGCGGGGCAAGACCGGUGCCAGCCGCCGCGGUAAUACCGGCUGCUCGAGUGAUAGCCACUUUUACUGGGCUUAAAGCGUUCGUAGCUUGGUCAUUAAGUCUCUGGGGAAAUCUUUUGGCUCAACCAAAAGGCGUCUCAGGGAAACUGACGAUCUUGGAACCGGGAGAGGUAAGACGUACUUCGGGGGUAGGAGUGAAAUCUUGUAAUCCCCGAGGGACGACCGAUGGCGAAGGCAUCUUACCAGAACGGCU
rnacentral:rRNA from 1 species